rnacentral:lncRNA from 1 species
CCUGCUCCAGGGAUGGUUAAUGCUAAGGGGUAGAGCCACCAGGGGGCUUGCUGGAUUUGCAAAAACCAGGAACAUUGUCCCUUCCAGUUAUGUGAGUGUCUAGGCAAUGUGGGGAUAACAGUGGCAGGCACAUAAGGGCACUAGGUAAUGCAUGGGGUUGUGCUCCUGGGCUCCAAACCUGCUGUGUCAUACUGUACUGGAUGUCUACCUUGGCCUACUCCUGACUGAAGAACAGCCAUUUUCCUUAUAGACCUCUUUCACAGGGAAAUUAUGAGUAUUAAAUAAGUUAAUUCAUGUAAAAUGCUUAAAAUUAUGACUGAUAUGAAAUAAAGAUUUAAUACUGUUAGUAGUGGCAGAGAUCUAAGUUAUCCCAAGUUACCAGUAGGAAAUCUGUAUACGUCUGCAAGCAACUUUAGCCCUUGUCUACUCAAAAGAAAGAAUUUGACUGAGGGACAUGAAGCAGAAAACAAGACUGAGGCAAGUUUCAGAGCAUGAGUGGAAGUUUAUUUAAAAAGGCCUUAGAACAGGAAAGAAAGGAAGGUGCAGUUGGAAGAGACCCAAGCAGGCACAUGAAGGUUUAAGAGAGAAGGUCAAAUGUCCCGUUCAACCAUGAUUCUUGGCCUUUUAUAGGUUCACCUCUUUCCCGAGAUUCUUCCCGUAUGUGCAGAGCCCUCUCUACAGUUGGGAAGUGAGCAUGCGCAGUGUGUUUAGGAAGAGUACAUAUGCCCACCUGAAGCUUUCUUCCUUUUUUCCAGUUGUGGGUACGUGGAAGAUAAUAUUUUGCCGUUUUUAUCUCUUAAUGUGCAUGCCCAGUAAGUUUCUUCUUUCUGGGGUCUGCCUUUAAUAACACUUUAAUGUUAAUAGGUGUGGACCAUCAGAAGAUUGUCUCUCCCCGGUUGCUGAAUUAUCAUUUUCUGAGAGGCAGUGUGACAAUUUUUAAAACAUCACUUGACAUUUCUAGUGGGUGGAGGGAGAGCCCUCUCCUGCCCUACUCAUGCCUAUCUAUCUACCUAUAACAAUAAAAUGUAUUGAGGGCCUACCAUAGUUUAGGGUCUGAUAGACACUAGGUGUAUAGCUAUAAAGAUACUAUAUGCUUAAGAACUGAGUUUAGAAGGAGAGGUACACAUUGAAACAAAUAUAGCUGUCUCUUGGUAUCCAUGGGCAAUUGGUUUCAGCACCCCUCAUUGAUACCAAAAUCUGUGAUGUUCAAGUGCUUUAUAUAAAAUGGCACAGUACUUGCAUAUAACCUAUAUACAUCUUUCCAUAUACUUAAAUCAUCUUUAAUUACUUAUAAUGCCCAAUAUAAUGUAAAUACUAUGUAAAUAGUUGUUAUACUGUAUUGUUUAGGGAACAGUGACAAGAAAAAGUCUACGUGUUCAAUACAGACUCAAACAUUAAUUUUUUCCCCAAAUAUUUUCAUUUUACUGUGGGUUGAAUCCAUGUUUGUGGAACCCACAGAUAAGGAGGGCUGACUGUAAGUGAAAUAGAACAUAAUAUGCAUUGUAAUAAUAUUACACAGGUUAUAGAGGUGGCAUAAAUCUGGAGGUUCUGCAAAGUCUUCCCAGAGGUGAAGUAUUCAGGCUGAUCUGGAACUCUGGCUGGAUAAUGGAGAAGAGCAAUCUGGGCACUGUUACCACUGGGCAGAAUGACAUGGCGGCCAUGCCCUCUUCAUGAUCUCUUGUUGUGAUCUAUCACUGGGACAGAAGGAAGGUAAAAUUCUGAGAUUUUGGAGGAAGAAGUUGGCCCAUAGAAGAAUCAUCCAGUUAGAACCCCAAGAUCAUUAUUUGGGGCAUCUAAUUAUUAAUGUGGGAUGCUUUAUAAAGUGUGUAUGGGGGUCUUGAAAGAUAAAGCCUGUGCCUCUCUCAGUGAAUUCUUAAAUUUUCCCUUCCUUCUGCAUUUUGAAUUUGAACCAAGAAAAUGGAACAACAUUGUAUGUUUCCAGUGAAGAUAAAAACAUCUGUUGAAUAUCUUGAGUCUAGAAAAUAACAUUGAAAAUAUAGUGGUUGAGGACCAAUUCCUCAUCCUGAAGUUUACAAUGUAAUGAAAAAAAGGAAAUGUAUAAUUUUAAUAAAAAUGCAUGCAUUGAAAUGUGGUGAGUAUGAACAUGUGCAGAUAAAAUUUAAAAUAAUAUUUAUGAGAAUGUACUAGUUUAUUGUAAUAAAGAAUGACUCAAUACAUGCCUACUAACUGUAGGCUCAGAGGAUAUUAGACUAAAUGAAAUUAGUCUACUGAUGUUUUCAUUGUUGAAUUUGUGAGCAUUCUACUAUUCCUUGAACAGGGUAGUUAAGCUCCAGCCAUAGAUUAUUUUCCCUGGCUCCUCCCUCUACCUAGAACACUCUUCUAACCAUGAUUCCCAGGGCUUAAGUACCUCACCUCCUUCAAGCCGUUGCACAAUUGUCAUUUUUUCUUUGAGUGCUAUUCUGACCAAUUAAUUUAAAAUCACAGUCUGCCCUUCCAGCCCUCCCAGAACCUCUUAGCUUGCUCUUUCUCUUCAGUUUGUUAUGUUUUUUCUUUAUUUUGUGUCUCCUGAUGCUGGACUACAAAAGAGCAAGGAUUUUCU